ensembl:lncRNA
GUCUGGCGUCCCCCGUUCUCCUGUCCUCUUGAGGAGGUGACAUCAUUCUUGGAGGGGGACCUGUGCCAGAAUAAUGCAGCUAUCACCUCUGUCACAGUACUGAGCCUGUUCAGCUCCACAGCAGACGCAGGUGUGUCAGUGUUUAAGGAUGCAGCGAAAGCACUCGAAGGAGAGACAAUGUUCUGACUGUUUGCUGACAGACAGGCUGAAAGAAGGUUGCUGAUGCACUGUUCCAGCAGGUCUUCCGGCACAAUGGCCAUCCGGAGGACAUCGUAGGUAUGGAGAGCCUUUUAGGAGAAGCUGCGGGCCACGGCCAGCCUCACAUCUGGGUACCGGCCUCAGUCCAACGGGCAGGUGGAGAUGAAUAACCAGGAGCUGGGGAGGUUCCUUAAAAGUCACUGUCAG